rnacentral:rRNA from 1 species
GACGAACGCUGGCGGCGUGCUUAACACAUGCAAGUCGAACGGAAAGGCCCUGCUUUUGUGGGGUGCUCGAGUGGCGAACGGGUGAGUAACACGUGAGUAACCUGCCCUUGACUUUGGGAUAACUUCAGGAAACUGGGGCUAAUACCGGAUAGGAGCUCCUGCUGCAUGGUGGGGGUGGAAAGUUUCGGCGGUUGGGGAUGGACUCGCGGCUUAUCAGCUUGUUGGUGGGGUAGUGGCUUACCAAGGCUUUGACGGGUAGCCGGCCUGAGAGGGUGACCGGCCACAUUGGGACUGAGAUACGGCCCAGACUCCUACGGGAGGCGGCAGUGGGGAAUAUUGCACAAUGGGCGGAAGCCUGAUGCAGCAACGCCGCGUGCGGGAUGACGGCCUUCGGGUUGUAAACCGCUUUCGCCUGUGACGAAGCGUGAGUGACGGUAAUGGGUAAAGAAGCACCGGCUAACUACGUG